ACUUUGUCGAUCAUUGAACAUCAUGGCUUCGGGUUUGGGAAAUUUGAGUGGCAAAGUUGCCCUUAUAACAGGUGCCAGUUCCGGAAUCGGAGCAGCUACUGCGGUGUUGAUGUCCAAGCUAGGAGCGAGUUUGGCGCUGACUGGUAGGAAAGAGGAAAAUCUGAAGAAAGUCGGAGAGCAGUGUGGCAAUAAGCCGUUAUUGAUUCCUGGGGACCUCGUCAAGGAAGAUGACACCAAACGAAUUUUGGAGACGGCCGUACAACAUUUUGGAAAACUCAACAUUUUGGUGAAUUGUGCUGGCAUCAUAGAGUUGGGUAGUAUAGAAAACACCUCCUUAGACCAGUAUGAUCGACUCUUCAACGUCAAUGUCAGGAGCAUUUACUACCUGACUAUGCUGGCAGUUCCUCACCUGAUCCAGACCAAAGGCAGCAUUGUAAAUGUAUCCAGUGUCAAUGGCAUCAGAUCCUUUCCCAAUGUCUUAGCGUACAACAUGUCCAAAAGUGCCCUUGAUCAGUUUACUCGCUGCACAGCUCUUGGUUUGUGUAGAUUAUUUUACGAUUAAUUUGUAAUAGCUUUAUUAUCUUCUCACAUUAGUACCUAUAGAGGCUGGUGGAGUGUGUGUGUGUUUUUUUUGGAGGGGGGAGGGGAGGGAGGAUUAACAAUUAAUUUGUUCUGAACAAUCAAUUUGAAUUCAUACUUAUGAAACAUUCUUCAGUUAUCACAUCUUACACCUUUGCAAGAAAAAACCUGUUUAAAUACUUAAUAUUUGAUUCCACAUCAUAUAUAGUCUUAAAUCAAUCAAUGCUCUCCUUUGUAUGGAGAAAAAAAAGCUUUUAAUUUUCAAAUUGUUAUGACCUAUGAAGAUUGAUAUACUAGAAUAUUGUUUUGUAACCACCAUUUCUUGGUAUAAAAGAAAAACUCAAUUUUUUUUAGUUUGUUAACAAAACCUUAUGCUUUUCUUUUAAUACAGAACUUGCACCAAAACAAGUCAGGGUCAACAGUGUAAAUCCAGGUGUCACGGUCACUGAGCUACAGAAGAGGGGUGGUCUGGAUGAGGAGGCUUAUGCUAAGUUCUUGGAGCGGUCUAAAGAAACGCACGCACUUGGUCGGCCCGGGCAACCGGAAGAGGUAGCCAGGGCAAUCGCUUUCCUUGCCUCCGACGAUUCGUCGUACAUAACUGGAGCGUCACUUCCGGUAGAUGGUGGUCGCCAUGCAAUGUGUCCAAGAUAAUCUUUUGAUCACCUCGAACAAAAAGAGAACUGUAAUAGAUAAAACAUUUUGUUUUCUUAAUAUUUCAUAUCGAUUUAUGAAUGAUGAUACAGUAAUUUGAUUAAUGCAUGUACAUUAAUAUGCAAACUUUAUUUAAACAAAUCAUUUUGAUGAUAUACAUUGCUGUAUACUGUAUAUACAUAAAUGGCAAGUGCAG
rnacentral:misc_RNA from 1 species